GAGGUUCAAAGGCAACUCUUUUGUAAACCGUUGUGGUAGGAUAUAUAAAAUCCCAAAAGAACGCAGCUCGAAAACAUAAAGUCCCAAAUUGAUUCUUGUUCUCAUAUUAAUUGGUUCAUCCCCAAAUUGAAUCUACUUCUCAUAAUCGAUUCCGGUCGAAAAGAAAACACAAAGUGGCGCAUGAUUCUGCUCACAAACUAAACCCUAAUUCGUUUCGUUGUGUUGAUUGUGCUCACAAACUCAGAAAUUGAUUCUUCUCCCUUAACUCAUGAACCCUAAUCCGUUCAGUUGAUGUGCUUACAGGUUUGUCGUCAAGUUGAUUACAUCUGUGUCUGUGUUUUUUGCCUUUUGAUAUCAUUAACUCUUGCAGUAAAAACUGUUAACUAGUGAGUAUGUGGCAAAUUGCAAAAUAAUAUGCAAGAGGUAAUUUGAGUUUAUAUCAUUUUGUUUCAUGCUAUAAUAUCUAUGAGAAUUCUGCAUAAUUGGUACUGAUUAAGAUGCCUAUACUGAUUUGAGAUGAUUGAUUCUAUGAUCAUCUUUGUUAAAGAAUCAAGUUUUGUUGAACUUCAUAAGGGUACUUGUGUUUUUAAUGUGUUCUCACUUUAAUUUUUAUGUUCAAAUUUCAGAUCCAUUGAAGAUUGCUAUAGAUACAUAUACAAUUAACUCCUAUUAUAUAGUAUAAGCUCCUUUGUUUUUUAUUUUCUUCAUGUGUAUUAAUAUAUAAAAGGUUUGUUUUGACAAUGAAUAAUAACAGGUUGGAUUCAUUGUGGAUUUUAUAUCUCAUGCUGCAAUUGUGAUUCGUCUUCAACAGUUGAAGGGACUCGCUGCCACGCUACACCACUAUAGCGCGCUAUUAACAACACAGACCUGACUGAUUAAUAGCAUCAUGGCAAAGACAAGGUCUAAUAGUUUAUAAAAUCUCGACUUAAUUUUUUCUUCUUUUUCUUCCUCUUGAAGAUAUUAUGUUUCUUUCUUUCUUCCUCUUGAAUAUAUUGUAGUGUUUAUGUGGUUAAGAUUUUUGUCAAUUUUCAAGUUAAGGAAGAAACUUGGCACAACAACAUUAUUGUUUUUGAUUUUAGUUUUCUUGUGAUGCUGCUGUUUUAAGAUCAGGCAAAGCUCAUGUCUUAGUCUAUGGAAUGUAAGGAACAAUAGUUGAGGUAAAGCUUUAACUUGUCUAUAUGGUACCUCAAUUCUUACUUACAAUAUCCUUAAUUAAUUUGUUUUCUGCUUCUGCAUUGUUUUACUUUUUUGUUUUGGUUUUUCACAUCUUUUUUUUGUUUAUCCUUUUAUGUUAAGAGAGUCUGAAAGUAAAGCUUUCACUCGAGCCGAAAGCUGAAAAAUGCUUUACAUGGAAAGGUCUAGAGUUAAGAGUAAAAUAAUCUGAUGAACUUAAAGCUGCUUGUGAACAAAGACUUUCUACUGCAGAAGUUGAAACUUUAUGUAUAUUUCAAAUUUGAUUAAUGACUCAUUAUAUUAUUCUAUUCUAUUGUAUUUGAUUAAUAAUUCAAUGUAUUAUUUUAUUGUACGUGCUAGUAUCAAUGAAGCUGGGACUAAUUUUGGCACUCAUAAAUUUGCCUUCAUUGCAGUUGUUCUUGUUCAUGCAAAUUUCCCAUUGCAAUGAAUGCCGCAGAAACAAUUGACAAGUUUGGACUUCAUUCACCCCACUGGUAUGAAGAUCUGAUCUUUGUAUUCGAAUAGGUUCUCAAUUUUGUAAAUCUAGACUUAGCUCAAAUAGUGUUACCUGAUCUUAAUUUAAAAGCUCAAAUAGUGUUAGCUGAUCUUAAUUUAAAAAUUCAUACUACAUUAUCACCGAGUCUGGUCAUGGCAUAUUGUUCCUAAUAUCUCGUGGUUUUGUAUUUAUUGAAGGUGAAAAUAAUCCCAUGGUGGGUGUUGUCUUAACAAGUAUGGCUCUUAUGUAAAGGCGCAAAGGAAUUGAACAACCAACAAAUUCGCUUGUGGUUCCAGAGGUUAGAAUUCUCUGAAUGUUGAUUACUUUUUUAAAUAACAGAAUUUGUUAAAAAUAUGCAGCGAUAGUUUGGUUAUGAAAUCUUGUAUUGGCAUAUGUUCUGUAGCGUCCAUAGAUUUUAUCUAGUAUUGUCAUAUUAGUAAUUCUUAUUAUUCUAUACUAUUCAAAAACUGUGCAAAACCAAUUUCUAUACUAUUCAAAAAACUUAUUGCGUUUUGUAAAAAACGACUUAUUGUCUUGGUGUUUAUGUAUUCGUGUAUUUGAUCUUUGCUUACAUAUUGUAAUCCUCCUGGUCGGUAACUCUCACUAGUUUGAUGGAGCCAUGAUGGAAGAAACAUAUGGGAGGAAACAAAAAGAGGAGAGUGGUGAAGCUAGAUAAAGAAUCUAACAAUAGAGUGAAUCAAUUUUAUUGUACUGUCUCGUAGUUACAUCUUCUAAAUAAUUUUAAAUAAGGAAAUAUGAAGAGAAAUUGGUCAAAGAGUUAGCCCGAAUUUUUCCCAAUUUCAAACCACGUCAUUCACAUAUUUUCGUGAAUCAUAGUCUCACAUACUAUUUAGCAAUUUCCUUUAAUUAUAGUACUUUUAUUUUGCAGAUGGUGAAUAAUGAUGAUAUCGAUGAAGAAAUGCAGGAUUUUGAAGGUAAAGAGAGAUCUAGAUGUUUAAGUUUUGUAAUAGGAUAUACAUUUUGAAGAUGUUAGUUUGAUUGCGAAUGAUUCACAUUAGGAUAUAUACAUUAAAGAUCCAAUAACUCUUUGCUGAUCAAUGAUAUUCUGAUAUAUUUGAAUGAAUGACAAUCAUUUUAUUUUAAUUUGUUGUGUAAUUUUUUAAUUUA
rnacentral:lncRNA from 1 species